rnacentral:rRNA from 1 species
ACGAGCGCACCCUUGUCACUAAUUGCUAUCAUUUUUAAUGAGCACUUUAUGAGACUGCCGGUGACAAACCGGAGGAAGGUGGGGAUGACGUCAAGUCCUCAUGGCCCUUAUGGGUAGGGCUUCACACGUAAUACAAUGGCGUGUACAGAGGGUUGCCAACCCGCGAGGGGGAGCCAAUCUCAAAAAGCACGUCGUAGUCCGGAUCGGAGUCUGCAACUCGACUCCGUGAAGUCGGAAUCGCUAGUAAUCGCGGAUCAACAUGCCGCGGUGAAUACGUUC